rnacentral:rRNA from 1 species
GUGGGGAAUAUUGCGCAAUGGGCGAAAGCCUGACGCAGCGACGCCGCGUGAGGGAUGAAGGCCUUCGGGUUGUAAACCUCUUUCAGCAGGGAAGAAGCGCAAGUGACGGUACCUGCAGAAGAAGCACCGGCUAACUACGUGCCAGCAGCCGCGGUAAUACGUAGGGUGCAAGCGUUGUCCGGAAUUAUUGGGCGUAAAGAGCUCGUAGGCGGUUUGUCGCGUCUGCUGUGAAAACGCGGGGCUCAACUCCGCGCCUGCAGUGGGUACGGGCAGACUAGAGUGCAGUAGGGGAGACUGGAAUUCCUGGUGUAGCGGUGGAAUGCGCAGAUAUCAGGAGGAACACCGGUGGCGAAGGCGGGUCUCUGGGCUGUAACUGACGCUGAGGAGCGAAAGCGUGGGUAGCGAACAGG